rnacentral:lncRNA from 1 species
AAAUCAGGGUGGUAUGAAAUGGCCACACUACCUGACUUGGUAGAGGCCUUAACAACUCUCAUAUGGACAGCAACUGGACUCCAUGCUGCUGUGAAUUCAGGGCAAUAUGCAUACGCCAGCUACCCUCUUAAUCGUCCCACACUCUGUUACAAGUUCAUUCCCAGUGAAGGAACAGUUGAAUAUGCUGAAUUCUUGAGUGAUCCAGAUAAAUAUUAUCUCGAAAUGAUACCUGGAAAGUUUGAAACUGCACUUGCCGCUGCAUUGACAGAGGUCCUUUCACAUCACGCAAUGGAUGAACUGUACCUGGGAAGGUCAUCCUACAACUGGACAGAUAAUGCAAAGGCUCGACAUAGCUUCAGUGAGUUCAGUAAAGAACUUAAAAAUAUAGAGAAUAGAAUAGAAGAAAGAAAUCGAGAUCCCAACCGCAAGAACAGAAGUGGACCCGCCAAGAUACCGUACAAACUUUUGUUGCCUGAUACAUCAAAUUUUAUUCCAAAAGGAGGGAUCCGAGGUAAAGGGAUUCCAAACAGCAUAUCUAUAUGAUGCAGUCUCAUGAAAUUACUUUAAAAUUACUUUCAAUCAGAAAUAUGAGCAAGACCAUUCAUUAAUCAUUCACCUUUUCUAAAUAUGAGAACGAGAAAUCUGCUACCUAAUUACUCUAUGUUAUUGCAGACCCUAAACAAAUAAAUCAACCAAGGGUGAGUUUGGGAUAACUAUUGGGAGGGUGAAAAGUACUUUUGUCCCAAUAUACUUUUCAAAAUUUUCAAUUGGUUAGACAACUAGAAGUAACGUA